AUUGAACGCUGGCGGCAUGCUUUACACAUGCAAGUCGAACGGUAACAGGCCGCAAGGUGCUGACGAGUGGCGAACGGGUGAGUAAUGCAUCGGAACGUGCCCAGUCGUGGGGGAUAACGCAGCGAAAGCUGUGCUAAUACCGCAUACGAUCUAUGGAUGAAAGCGGGGGACCGUAAGGCCUCGCGCCGUAGGAGCGGCCGAUGUCCGAUUAGCUAGUUGGUGGGGUAAAGGCCCACCAAGGCGACGAUCUGUAGCUGGUCUGAGAGGACGACCAGCCACACUGGGACUGAGACACGGCCCAGACUCCUACGGGAGGCAGCAGUGGGGAAUUUUGGACAAUGGGCGCAAGCCUGAUCCAGCAAUGCCGCGUGCAGGAAGAAGGCCUUCGGGUUGUAAACUGCUUUUGUACGGAACGAAACGGUCUGGGUUAAUACCCUGGGCUAAUGACGGUACCGUAAGAAUAAGCACCGGCUAACUACGUGCCAGCCGCCGCGGUAACAC
rnacentral:rRNA from 1 species